CAGCAGCCGCGGUAAAACGUAGGUGGCAAGCGUUGUCCGGAAUUAUUGGGCGUAAAGGGCUCGCAGGCGGUUUCCUAAGUCUGAUGUGAAAGCCCCCGGCUCAACCGGGGAGGGUCAUUGGAAACUGGGAAACUUGAGUGCAGAAGAGGAGAGUGGAAUUCCACGUGUAGCGGUGAAAUGCGUAGAGAUGUGGAGGAACACCAGUGGCGAAGGCGACUCUCUGGUCUGUAACUGACGCUGAGGAGCGAAAGCGUGGGGAGCGAACAGGAUUAGAUACCCGCGUAGUCCCUGUCUCUUAUAA
rnacentral:rRNA from 1 species